CCUACGGGUGGCAGCAGUAGGGAAUAUUGCUCAAUGGGGGAAACCCUGAAGCAGCAACGCCGCGUGGAGGAUGAAGGUUUUCGGAUUGUAAACUCCUUUUGUUAGAGAAGAUAAUGACGGUAUCUAACGAAUAAGCACCGGCUAACUCCGUGCCAGCAGCCGCGGUAAUACGGAGGGUGCAAGCGUUACUCGGAAGCACUGGGCGUAAAGGGCGCGUAGGCGGGAUAGCAAGUCAGAUGUGAAAUCCUAUGGCUUAACCAUAGAACUGCAUUUGAAAAUGUUAUUCUAGAGUAUGGGAGAGGUAGGUGGAAUUCUUGGUGUAGUGGUCAAAUCCGUAGAGAUCAAGAGGAAUACUCAUUGCGAAGGCGACCUGCUAGAACAUAACUGACGCUGAUGCGCGAAAGCGUGGGGAGCAAACAGGAUUAGAUACCCUUGUAGUC
rnacentral:rRNA from 1 species